rnacentral:misc_RNA from 1 species
AUGUAGGGAUUGCUAUUAUUAUUAGGAUUUCUAUUUCUAUUAUAAUUUUAAUAAAUCUUGUGUAAACUUUUCUUGUAAACGUAAUUUCAGCUUGUGAACGUAAUUUCAACUGAGCUCUGUCUUUUUUUCAGAACAGUCACAUGGAUAAUUGUGAAUGUAAAUCCCAAAAAUUCCUCUUAUGUAGGGAUUGCUAUUAUUGUAAACGUAAUGCGUCCAUAGCUUGUGAACGUAAUUUCAGCUCUGAGCUCUGUCUUUUUUUUAGAACAGUCACAUGGAUAACUAAUAACUUUAAUGAUUUUGUUAUGGACGCAUAAGGUGAAUCUUGCAACCUUCCAUAUAACGGGAGAGGCACAACUCUAGUUUUACAUAUUAGAACAAGAAGAGCCCCGACUAUCGUGGAAUGCGUUCAAAGAAUAUUGCAAUUUGAGAUUCGGGCCUCCAUUCAGUAGCAAUCCUUUGGGUGAUUUGGCUAUUUCUGAAGUAGACAAUGACAGGGAAGAAUACCAACGCUAGUUCUAGAGCCUUCUAACUCGUGCAACAACAGUUCGGGUAGAUUAACUAGUUGAUUUGUUUACUGCAAGCCUGACAGAUUCAAUCCAAACUGAUGUAGAGAUGCAAAAUCCCUCGAGUUUGGUAGCAACUAUGAACCUGGCAAGAGCC